ACGUAGGACGCAAGCGUUAUCCGGAAUUACUGGGCGUAAAGGGCGUGUAGGCGGCACGGUAAGUCAACCGUGAAAGCUCCCGGCUAAACUGGGAGAGGUCGGAUGAGACUGCCGAGCUAGAGGGUCGUAGAGGGGUGUGGAAUUCCGGGUGUAGUGGUGAAAUGCGUAGAGAUCCGGAGGAACACCAGAGGCGAAGGCGGCACCCUGGACGACACUGACGCUCAUGCACGAAAGCGUGGGGAGCAAACAG
rnacentral:rRNA from 1 species